AUAAGGGCCUUUGGGAGGUUGUUAGGUCUAAGUGAAGUCAUGAGAGUGAGUCCCCCAUGACAAGAUUAGUGUCCUUAUGAAAAGAGGAAGAGAAACCAGAGCACCCUCUCUCUCCAACAGGUAAGGACACAGGAAGAAGGCAGCUGUCUGUAAGCCAAGAAGAGGCCCCCACCUGGAACUGAACCUGCCAGAACGUUUAUCUUGGACUUUACAGGUUCCCGAAAUCUUCCACCCUGAGUCAUCUUCAUUCUGAUUGAAAAAUACUGCAGUUUUCCUUUAUUGCAGCAAUGUUCCAUUUCCUGUUGCUACAGAAUAAAAAACUCUGUGGACAGAUGUAAUUCUCCAAAGAUGUCUGCAACAAAUAACUCCCAUCUCACAUGCUCUUCUAGAAGCUUGCCAUUACUCAUCAGGUUAUAGAGCCCAUACCCAUUUUCCUGGCACCAAUGGUUUUUGUGUCUGCCUCAACCAGGAGUACAGCUGAAGUGAUGCCAUGUGACUUAAAAAGGUAAGGACACAGGAAGAAGGCAGCUGUCUGUAAGCCAGGAAGAGGCCCCCACCUGGAACUGAACCUGCCAGAACGUUUAUCUUGGACUUUACAGGUUCCCGAAAUGUGAGAAAGAAAUGUCUGUUGUUUAAGCCACUCCAAUUACGGUAUUUUGUUAUAGAAGCCUGAGCUAAUAGACAGUGCUUCUGGAAUAUGUAGCUUGAUGUCUUUGUCAGUUUUCAAAAGUUCUCGGCCAUACUCUCUUCAAAUACACUUACACAGUGCUUUGUAGACUUGAUACCUCUAAGAAUGUCACAGUAUGCUUUUCCAAAGUCUCCCCUUAGAGCCAAGAAGGAAGAAGGAAAAUAGGUCACAGUCACUCACCUUUGGAAGAGAAUUUAGAUUUAAUUAUUCUAGAGCCAGAUGCUCCCCUUGUUUUUUUUUUGGGGGGGGGGGGCUUCACAUAUCAUGCUGAAGUUCCUGGGCCAGAGAUCCAUCCCAUCCCACAGCAGUGACACCACCAGAUCCUUAACCUGCUGUGCCACCAGGAAACUCCUGGAUGCUCCCAUUAUGCUAACUCCUCCUCCCAAAGUAUUCUUCUCCCAUCUCCAUGAGAAAAAGGUCAUUUUGUCUUUCCUUCUAUCAACACCUUUUGGUAAACUUUUGGUCAACAGAAUUUCUACCCUGCUACCAGUAGUUCAACCAGUAGUAAACACUGGAUGGCCCUUCUCUCCCAGUGAUAGAAGAAGUAACCCAGUGUUUGUUCAGCUUUGAAUUUCAUCUGUGCCUCAAAGUGUUAAGUAAAAACAUCUAGAUGAAAACACCAA